GAGGAGAAAAAAGAAUCCUAUCCUUGUAACGCCCAAGAUGCGAUCCUAUCCUUAUUUUGGCGCGAGGGCCUCGACAGGGAUAGAAGCCCAUCUCGUCGUUUCGCAAGAAUGGAUAUCGUUACAAGUACAUGUACUAAAAAGAUGAGAUAUACAGAAUUGCCUUACACUCGCCACAAGCUACAUCAGAGCCACAUCAGUACAAUACAUAAAUAUCACGAAGAAGAGCAGGGUCCGACUACGGAUGAAAACAAACGAGAAAAAAGAACGACGUCCAUCCUUGCUAUCCCAGGCUGCCGGCCUGGAACCCAUCCUAGAUUGAUGAAGAAGAAGAAGAAACUCCAAAUGAAUAAUCAACGCGCGCGCAUCAAGUAGCCUUUACA
rnacentral:lncRNA from 1 species